UCAUACGAUUUAUUCCUCUUGCGUGCCCUAGUUUGUUCGCUCUUUAAUUUCAAUGCCUUUAUUUGAUUAAUUCUUCAAUUUCAAUGCCUUAAUUUGAUUACUUCUUCAAUUUAGAAAUUAGGGCUUUUGUUUGUUUUGCUGAAUUUUUCAAUGGUGAAUCACUAUUAGUUGUGUAAUUGGAGAAGUACUUGUAGAUUUUUCUGAUUUGUAGUCAGUUGUUUAAUACUCCUUUCAGUUCAUAUCAGUUUAAAAACUGGCUUUUGCUAAUAUUCUUGUCCCUGUCUGCUUCCUUUGACCUUGUCUUUGUUUGUUCUUCAUAAGUGAUGUUUUGAUCUUCCAAUACUAUACCCUGGCUGUUAUCAUUCCCAAUUUAAUUCCAUAUAUCAACUCCUUUUGUAUAUUUGACUUCAUGUGGUAUUUGCUUGCCCUGCUAUGAGAUACUACUACAGGAUGAGUUGAUUCCUUACUUUCUUUUUUCUAACAUGUUGCUGAGACUUGUAUGUUAACCUGAUAUGAGAUACUACUACAGGAUGAGUUGAUUCCUUAAUGCUGCUUAGAGAUGUUAAUUUUCUGACCAACCAAUUUACGAUUGUCUUUAGAUGCCAACUGAAUUGCAUGAGGUUUCAGGUGUUAGAAUUGUCCUAGCCAAUUUCGUGAUGCUUAUAUAUAGUUAUGAUUUGCACUUCUACCUUUUAUACUACGGUUAUGAAGGGCUUUUAAAAUGAACUUGUGGCUGGUUUAAAGAACUUUUGCUCUAAUUAGGACACACUUUCCAAAUUCAUAACUAGCAAGUCUUGGAACAUGGUGCAUCUUAUUGGGAGUAACUUAUGUUUUGGAUUAUAUCUUACUUGUGAAUCCAAAAGUAGAUAUGGCUGAUUGUAUUUUCCUCCUUGUUAACAGGUACUCUAUAUGUGAUCCUAAAUUAUUUGCGUGAAAACCCGUUCGUAGUAGCCCUAGUUGUGAUUAUAAUAUUGUGUUUUAUUGAUGCACUGCUGUACCAUAAGAGAAACAGAAUAAGGAAUUUCUUCCGCCACCAACAGGUUCCUUUAGAUAUUCCUUUAGUUUUGCCCACUAUGGUUUUUGAUGGAACUCAACAUGAGAAAGAUGAGUGCAUGAUCUGUGUUGAAGAUUUUGAAGAUGGAGAUUUACUGAGCGUAAUGCCGUCGUAUGGGCAUUUCGCUCAUGAACAUUGUCUUCAGCACCAGUACGUCAACGAAAGGAAUGGUAAUAGUUGCCCUUACUGUAGGGCAACUAUUACCCUGCACCCAGUGGUUUAGUUAUACUUACCAGUACCUGUAAAUAAAUAAAGUACUGAAUACUCUUCUUAUACUCCUAUUAUUAUACUACUAAAGUAAAUAAAUAAAGUACUGAAUACUCUUCUUAUACUACUAAAUUUUGUUGGUUCAAAUUUGAAAUUAUGAUACUGUUGAAUGGUUCAUGGGGGGUGAUUUAAGGCAGUUGAAGAAUUGAACUGAGAAGACAAGAAGGGUAUGAUGGUGGUCACUAAAGCUGAACUGGACCAAGGAAAAUGGUAGAAUGGAGAAUAAGUUAGAAAGGUUGCUUCUGUAACUCGUAUUUGAAGAGAAGAAUGAAGAUCUGGUGCAAUGAGUCUGUGUUGUUCUCGAUUUUGAGAAGAACUGAGCAGCAAGGAACACUAAUGAAAAAAUUGAGGGAUUGUGUUGGUGCUCUUGAAGAACAAAUUCAGGGAUGGUGGAAUUGAAUCUGCAGGGGGGUUUGAACUGUGGAUGCUUCUUAGGGUUUGAGUUCUGCUGCAAUGAAGUAAAGGGAAUGAUGGAGCUAAGUAGAUGGUACGCUUUGCAACUGUGAUGGGAGGUUGCAGGUGGAAAUAAUGAUUUUUAUGGGUUUAUGGUGCUGUGGUUCAAUGUAAGGCAAAGCUGGGGAUGGAGCUGAUGGUUAUGAACUACAAGAUAAUGUUGCUGCCAUGUUGGUGACUGGCUGUGGAGACGACAAAGAACAGGGACUUCAAUUGAUCAAGAUCUUCAAAGAACAUUCGAACAAGACAUGUAUCCUUGAUGAUUUUGAAUUUUAUGAAGGCCAGCCAAAAAAUAAUUCAACAGAAGCGUGCCAAACAACAGAUCCCCAAGCAGGUUUGGGAUUCAAAACCCACCACUGAAUCUGCUGUUGUAGACACCAAUGAGAAGGCCAAAGAAGGUGCAGGUGCAAAUGGAAAAGUGAGUUCGCCAAAACCAUUAGAAGCUUCCUCAGUGUUGGUUAAUGAAUCACCUGUAAUUGAUGGAGAGGCGACAAAGCAACCGGAAGAGAAUGGAUCAGGAAAACCGUCUGCGGAUGCCGCCCUGGAAUCAAGAUAAAAGGGUCAAGGAGCUCAUACAAAAGCAUCUUGAUGCUGUGAUAUCCUCUUGCAAACUCCAUGAUAAGCUUUGUUCUAUCUGUGAUCAAGGUUUUGACGGAGGUGCAGAAGUUGCAGAAGUUCCCAUUCCUUAUGCCAUUAACUCGUGUUCUUCAACGCCUUGCACGGGAUAUGGGAUCAUCUGCAGCUUCUCACGUGAGACAAGGUCAGAGAAUGGAUCCAGAUGCUGCAGUCAGUUCCUCACGCCCAGUUAAUUUUUUUUGAUGGUUGCUGCUGCAGAGGUGGUAGUGGUUCUGGUAAUUGAAGCUGUGGCAGAAAUGGCUAGGUAGUUCUGGUUACAUGUGCUGGUGAAUUGCCAUCAUGGUGCAACACACAGUUACGCCUGUGCAAAUGGCCUAUUCUGUCUUGCAUGCUACUGCUAUGCCUUUUCACUGUUUUUUGGAAGGAAACUCAACCUGAGAGUCUGGUGGUGGGCUAUCUUCCUAAUUGCUGGUCAAUGUGUGUUUGUUGUUCAUCCUAUUACAAAGACUGGAUUGAAUAGCCUAUACACGCAAGUGUUUCAUGA